GGGGAUUUAGCUCAGUGGUAUAAGCACCUGCCUGGCAAGCACAAGGUCGAGAGUUCAAUCCCUG
rfam:Cavia porcellus supercont2_32 genomic scaffold, whole genome shotgun sequence.